AUGUAANUGAGAUAAGUCGNNACAUAGUAGAUGUACUGGAAAGUGUAUCUAGUGGUUUAC
rnacentral:rRNA from 1 species